CGCUUGUGCCCAGCCUCCCCCGUCCUUCCCUCCGCCCCUGCGCCCUCGGACCUCAGGCUUCUCCGCCAGCGCCUGCACCUGCGAGCCAUGCCAAGGCGGCAGGUGAUCUGCGGUCUGAGAGCGAGGCAGGGGCCAGCUACUGGCAAGGAGAAGCCAGCCGCUGUGCAGGAGGCUGUGUGGUGCGCAUCUGGGCAGGCCCUGCCCUGGGACAUCAGAGCCCACAGUAGCGGUUGCCCCAGGGACAGAGCCUCAGACCAAACGGUGGGGUGUUGGAAUGCAGCUGCUGACCUUCUGCGCGAACUGAUGAGGGAGUGACUGGGUCGGAGGAAAUAUCACAGCCUGCUCUCACGUCCGCCUGGUGUGGAGCCCCUGGAAAGAGCAUCAUCCUUGCCCUAAUGAUGAGAGAUGAACCGGAAAAAGGGAAGGAAGACAAAACCUAACCCCAGCUCAACUCCCAUCAAGGUUGAUUCAGCUGCCCAUGCUGCUACAGGAAGAGACCUAUUUCCUCGUCUCUUCUACUGCAUGUAAGGUGUUCAGUCAACAUUUAUUCAGUGCAGACACACACACACACACACACACACACACACACACGUAAAACAAUACACAAAACUCACUGACAAAUAACUGACAGACUCAUCCGCAGAGACAAUCCCGGCACUGGAAUCAGCAGUGCGGGUUUUAGAAUAACUGUGAGGAACAGGCCUGGAAUGUAGGGAAAAUCAUGAGCCGGGUGAGCAUGGGGGAGGGAACCAUACAAAGACACCACGUAGAAGGUUAGGCAUGAGGAUGAUGAUGGCAGAGGUGGAGGACUGACUGCUCAGGAGAGUCGGCAGUUGGGUAAGUGAUCAGGGGCCUGGAGGGUGAGUCACAGGAAAUCACUCAGAUGCACACACAAGAAGACAGAGAGUGAAAAACCCUCAGAGCCAAGCAGCUCAGGUGCACAGCACAAAUCCUUCUGCACUGUCAACAGUAACAGCUCCUGCAGCGCAUCCACAGGUAGACACAGCAUGUUCCAAUUAAGGAAGGCAGGACGAAGAAGAAACCCUGAAGGCAGCCACAGAAGAAGACACGCUGAUUAUGGAUGAGCAAAGAGACAAAUAUACAAGCCUUCUUGUCAGAAACAAUGCAAGCUCAAAGGCAACACUGCAACAACCUUAGACAGUGGAAGGAGGAAAACCAAAACCACCUGCCAUCUGCACCAACUCUAGGCCCAGAAAAGCAGCAAAACCAGACCAGUGACCCCAUGGCUGACCUCAGGACCAGCUGCAUUGGAUAAUGACCCCUUGCCCUUGUGCCAACCAAUCAAUCAGUGGAGACCCCAACUCUUAAAGGACACACCUGGAAAACUGCUGAAUAUUCUAUGGAGACCCUCCCCUGAGACCUCCCUUAAAAUCCUUAGGCCAGAGGACCCAGCAUUCUCUCCUCCCUAUAGCAGACCCUCACCUUCCCCCAUUCUCUCCCCUUCCCCCCAGACAGGUCACCUUUACUUUCCUCACUUCUAAGCUCCAAGGGUCCUUCUUUUGCUGCUAUAAUUUGUUGCCUAUGCCCAUUUGUUCUGUGAA